rnacentral:rRNA from 1 species
AACGCUAGCUACAGGCUUAACACAUGCAAGUCGAGGGGCAGCAUGAUUGAAGCUUGCUUCAAUUGAUGGCGACCGGCGCACGGGUGAGUAACACGUAUCCAACCUGCCGAUAACUCGGGGAUAGCCUUUCGAAAGAAAGAUUAAUACCCGAUAGUAUAGUAUUUCCGCAUGGUUUCACUAUUAAAGAAUUUCGGUUAUCGAUGGGGAUGCGUUCCAUUAGAUAGUUGGCGGGGUAACGGCCCACCAAGCCAUCGAUCAGUAGGGGUUCUGAGAGGAAGGUCCCCCACAUUGGAACUGAGACACGGUCCAAACUCCUACGGGAGGCAGCAGUGAGGAAUAUUGGUCAAUGGGCGCGAGCCUGAACCAGCCAAGUAGCGUGAGGGAUGACGGCCCUAUGGGUUGUAAACCUCUUUUAUGCGGGAAUAAAAUGUUUGACGUGUCAUACAUUGUAGGUACCGCAAGAAUAAGGACCGGCUAAUUCCGUGCCAGCAGCCGCGGUAAUACGGAAGGUCCAGGCGUUAUCCGGAUUUAUUGGGUUUAAAGGGAGCGUAGGCCGCAAGUCAAGCGUGUUGUGAAAUGCAGGGGCUCAACCUCUGGAUUGCAGCGCGAACUGGCAUGCUUGAGUACGCACGAGGUAGGCGGAAUUUGUGGUGUAGCGGUGAAAUGCUUAGAUAUCACGAAGAACUCCGAUUG